rnacentral:lncRNA from 1 species
CACUUGAUCCUGGAUACACUUGGUGUUUGUUUGCCUUUUGAAAAAAAACUAAACCUCAGCUGGGAUGAGGAGUGACAAAAAUAUCAAAAUAAUCUGUUGCUGUGGAUUUUUUUUUUUUAACUGCUAGUAGUGGAAUACUGGAAAGGCUUCAUUUCUGAAGACAAAUUUUAUUUUAAAAUAUAAAUAUACACUCACAAAUUUUAGCUUUGUUCACAAAUGGACAGAUUUAUGAAACCAAAGGCAACUAAGUUGCUUACUCAGCUCUUGCUGGAUUUUUGAGCCUAGGUCCUACUGUCUGCCAGUCCUGGUGUGUGUUGUGUGCACGCCACAGUGCUACAUGUGCAGGUAUGCAUAAGUGAGUAUGCUUGAUUAAGUAGUCAACAUACAUAUGUACAUAAUCAACAUAUUUAUAUCACACAUAUCUAGUUUUAUUACUAUAGAUUAUACAAAUUGAUGGUUAACAUAAAAUGUUACCUUUUAACAGACUGUUUUUAAAAACUAAAAGUGUAUGUACAGGUUUUGAAAUUUUUUU